rnacentral:rRNA from 1 species
AACGAACGCUGGCGGCAUGCCUAACACAUGCAAGUCGAACGAGACCUUCGGGUCUAGUGGCGCACGGGUGCGUAACGCGAGGGAACCUGCCCUUAGGUUCGGAAUAACUCCCCGAAAGGGGUGCUAAUACCGGAUAAUGUCUUCUGACCAAAGAUUUAUCGCCUUUGGAUCGGCCCGCGUUGGAUUAGCUAGUUGGUAGGGUAAAAGCCAACCAAGGCGACGAUCCAUAGCUGGUCUGAGAGCAUGACCAGCCACACUGGGGCUGGGACACGGCCCAGACUCCUACGGGAGGCAGCAGUGGGGAAUAUUGGACAAUGGGCGAAAGCCUGAUCCAGCAGUGCCGCGUGAGUGAUGAAGGCCUUAGGGUUGUAAAGCUCUGUUACCCGGGAUGAUAAUGACAGUACCGGGAGAAUAAGCUCCGGCUAACUCCGUG